CAAUAGCGUAUAUUUAAGUUGUUGCAGUUAAAAAGCUCGUAGUUGGAUUUCGGUUAAGAGCGACCGGUCCGCCGUUUGGUGUGCACUGGUUGGUUUUAACUUCCUGUAGAGGACGUGCUCUGGGUUUAACGACCUGGACUCGGAGUCUACGUGGUUACUUUGAAAAAAUUAGAGUGUUCAAAGCGGGCUUACGCUUGAAUAUUUCAGCAUGGAAUAACACUAUAGGACUCCUGUCCUAUUUCGUUGGUCUCGGGACGGGAGUAAUGAUUAAGAGGAACAGUUGGGGGCAUUCGUAUUUCAUUGUCAGAGGUGAAAUUCUUGGAUUUAUGAAAGACGAACUUCUGCGAAAGCGUUUGCCAAGGAUGUUUUCAUUAA
rnacentral:rRNA from 1 species